rnacentral:RNase_P_RNA from 1 species
UCAGGCGGUCGGAUGGCUGCGCGCGGACAAUGGGGAAACCCGUCCGUGUGAGGAAAGUCCGGGCUCCACGGAAGUACGGUGCCGGUUAACGGCCGGCGGGGGCGACCCCAGGGAAAGUGCCACAGAAAGCAAACCGCCCGCCUUAGGGGGGGUAAGGGUGAAAGGGUGCGGUAAGAGCGCACCGCGUCCCUGGCGACAGGGACGGCAGGGUAAACCCCACCGGGAGCAAAACCGAAUAGGGAUGACGCGGCGCAAGCCGGCCAGUUCCAGGCCAGUCAUCCGGGUAGGUUGCUUGAGGUGCGCCGCAAGGCGUGGCCCAGAGGAAUGGCUGCCACGUUUCCGUCUUCGGGCGGAAGCCAUACAGAACCCGGCUUACAGGC